GCCACGGGGCGCAGCAGUGGGGGAUAUUGCACAAUGGAGGGAACUCUGAUGCAGCGACGCCGCGUGAGGGAAGAAGGUUUUCGGAUUGUAAACCUCUGUCAGGAGGGAAGAAAGCGUAUGGCGCCAAUCAGCCAUGCGUUGACGGUACCUCCAAAGGAAGCGCCGGCUAACUCCGUGCCAGCAGCCGCGGUAAUACGGAGGGCGCGAGCGUUAAUCGGAAUUACUGGGCGUAAAGCGCGCGUAGGCUGUUGUGUAAGUUGGGGGUGAAAUCCCACGGCUCAACCGUGGAACAGCCCUUGAUACUU
rnacentral:rRNA from 1 species